GACGAACGCUGGCGGCGCGCCUAACACAUGCAAGUCGAACGAGAGAUGAAGAGCUUGCUCUUCAGAUCGAGUGGCGAACGGGUGAGUAACGCGUGAGGAACCUGCCUCAAAGAGGGGGACAACAGUUGGAAACGACUGCUAAUACCGCAUAAGCCCACGGCUCGGCAUCGAGCAGAGGGAAAAGGAGCAAUCCGCUUUGAGAUGGCCUCGCGUCCGAUUAGCUAGUUGGUGAGGUAACGGCCCACCAAGGCGACGAUCGGUAGCCGGACUGAGAGGUUGAACGGCCACAUUGGGACUGAGACACGGCCCAGACUCCUACGGGAGGCAGCAGUGGGGAAUAUUGCACAAUGGGGGAAACCCUGAUGCAGCGACGCCGCGUGAGUGAUGAAGUAUUUCGGUAUGUAAAAACUCUAUCAGCAGGGAAGAUAAUGACGGUACCUGACUAAGAAGCACCGGCUAAAAUACGUG
rnacentral:rRNA from 1 species